rnacentral:rRNA from 1 species
GACGAACGCUGGCGGCGUGCUUAACACAUGCAAGUCGAACGGAAAGGCCCAGCUUGCUGGGUACUCGAGUGGCGAACGGGUGAGUAACACGUGGGUGAUCUGCCCCUGACUUUGGGAUAAGCCUGGGAAACUGGGUCUAAUACCGGAUAUGACCUUACAUCGCAUGGUGUUUGGUGGAAAGCUUUUGCGGUUGGGGAUGGGCCCGCGGCCUAGCAGCUUGUUGGUGGGGUAAUGGCCUACCAAGGCGACGACGGGUAGCCGACCUGAGAGGGUGAUCGGCCACACUGGGCCUGGGACACGGCCCAGACUCCUCCGGGAGGCAGCAGUGGGGAAUAUUGCACAAUGGGCGCAAGCCUGAUGCAGCGACGCCGCGUGAGGGAUGACGGCCUUCGGGUUGUAAACCUCUUUCACCAGGGACGAAGCGUGAGUGACGGUACCUGGAGAAGAAGCACCGGCCAACUACGUG